rnacentral:rRNA from 1 species
CGUAAUUGGCCGGUGCUUCUUUUGGAGGUACCGUCAAUUUCUUCCCUCCUGAAAGGGGUUUACAACCCGAAGGCCUUCAUCCCCCACGCGGCGUUGCUGCGUCAGGCUUUCGCCCAUUGCGCAAGAUUCCCUG